rnacentral:lncRNA from 1 species
CAGAAUAAACUGGUGAUGUGGGACCCCUGGCUGCUCUGACCAGAGUCAGCUAGGAACGAAUGUCUCUGGCACCUCGUUCUCCAGCACUGUGUACAUUUUGGAAACACUGGUUCAGAGGGGAGCCAUUCUAAGUGGGAAAACAUUCUCCCCCAUCUUGGUCCGGCCUCCCAGGACGGCCGAGCUCCAGGGUCAGGUGGGAAGCGGCCGAGUGCAGUGAUGUGAGCCAUGGCGCUAGUUGACGGCAGGAAGUGCUGGCUACCGCAGCGCCGUACUCCCGCUGGCUAGAUGGUGGCCGGCAGGCUGAGCUCCUGGGGCCGGGCAUCUCCACAGAGGCCAGGCAGGAAGAAUAAUGUGAUGUGUUACCCGAGAUGGUGUGAACAAAGCUUCAAGCCAAUGGAGAAGACUAGGCCUAAAUAGCUGACCCGGUGAAGUGAAAAAUAAAGCCACACCUGGAGAGCCACAUCCUCUGCAGUCUUUCUCAAUGCCAAUGCAUUUAUGGCUGUAAGUGUGGGGUUUGCCCAGAUGCAAGCUAAGCUCUCGGAACAGGUCUGGUGGAUAGGUGUGCUGAUGGCCAGCUGCAGGCCGAGAAUACAC